rnacentral:rRNA from 1 species
GAUGAACGCUGGCGGCGUGCUUAACACAUGCAAGUCGAACGGAAAGGCCCAAGCUUGCUUGGGUACUCGAGUGGCGAACGGGUGAGUAACACGUGGGUGAUCUGCCCUGCACUUCGGGAUAAGCCUGGGAAACUGGGUCUAAUACCGGAUAGGACGAUGGUUUGGAUGCCAUUGUGGAAAGUUCUUUCGGUGUGGGAUGAGCUCGCGGCCUAUCAGCUUGUUGGUGGGGUAAUGGCCUACCAAGGCGUCGACGGGUAGCCGGCCUGAGAGGGUGUACGGCCACAUUGGGACUGAGAUACGGCCCAGACACCGACGGGAGGCAGCAGGGGGGAAUAUUGAACAAUGGGCGCAAGGCUGAUGCAGAGAGGCCGCGUGGGGGAUGACGGCCUUCGGGGUGUAGACUCCUUUCGCUAGGGAAGAAGCGUUUUUGUGACGGUACCUGGAGAAGAAGCACCGGCUAACUACGUG